ACCCAGAGAGGGACUGCAGCCCUCGGUCCUGCUGCUGGGGCGUGAGCUCUCGUCUGAGUCAGCCUGGAAGAGACCCCUCUCCAGAGAGGUUGUGAUGACUGCAGAUCUGGCUGUCAUCUGGACAGCAGCCUGAGCGACAGCCUGGGCCACAGGGCCCACGGAGUGGUGGCCAGGCUCCUGAGCCACAGACACGCUUCCAGAACCCUGAGAGAAUAAAUAAACUUCCAGUCCGUGGUGCCCUGUUAUGAUACCCUCAGCUGACUGAUACAAGCUGCUCAGUUUGGGGGUCAUUUGUUACACAGCAAAGGACGACAAAUACAACCAUCAGCCGACACUGCACUCCCAUUCCCUCUGGGCUGGGAGCCGGGUAGAACAAGACCAAAGCCCUGGCCCAUAAGAAUGGAUCUCAGUCCACACGGAAAGACAAACACAGAAGAUGAAGUAAAAGGCUAGGGUGGGAGAAGACCCCUCAGGACGAAGACACCGCUUGGGGAGACGUGGAUGCAGGAGAGACCACGACACAUCGUCCUGCCCGCUCUGUGCUCCCCCUGGGGACACAGGCUCGGCCUUCUCAGAUACAGCAUCCUCUCCACGUUGUAGCUGAUGCGUGGACGCCGAAAGAGGUUGUGUUGGCUGAGGUCCCGAAGCUCAUCCCGGAGUCGCCAGGAUUCACGGGCAGGUCUGCAAGGGGAGAAGAGAAGAGCUCCUUGGAGGGUGUCAGCUCCUCAAGGGUCAGGCAGAGGGAGAAGCCAGGAGGGACACAGAGGCACCGUGGGAAUGAUAGGAGGAGAUUAAUAUUUCCCCAGAAUCAAAGAUAAGAGCUUUUCUCGGUUGGAAUCGUGUUUGAUGCCCAAGACAGCCUACCUCAGACAGGAUGAAGCCCCCCGGCCCCAAGAGCAACCUCCAUUGGCAGCGGGGUCAUUGCUGAUGUGACUGGUUAAGGGGCAGGAGGAGAGCGAGCCCUGAUGAGCCCUGAAGGAGGCGCCUGUGCAGACGGACAAGGAGGAGCCCCUCGCGGACCCCAGCGGAGACCGAGGUCAGGAAGGGCGGGGCACAGGGCGGCUGGGGCUUCUGGAAGCUGAAAGCGGCAAGAGGUUCUCGGGCAGGCUUCAGAGGGAGCCCCGCCUUCCUGAAGCCUUGAUCUUGGACAGUAAGAGAAUAGACCUCUGCUGUUUCACCCCACUCCCCAGCCCCAAAUCCCCCAUCCUCACAGCAAGAAUCCCAGUGUCUUACUUAAAGAAGACAAGGCGUGAAAGCAUUCAAAUGAAGACCUUCGUUAACUUUUUGUACAUACUGCACUACGCUUCGUCUUUAAAGGUCAGACAGUUUGCUUCAGAAAACAAAGAGAGAUUGAGCCUUGCAACAGUUUCGUGGCCACCUUGGCCCAGUUUUCUCAUCGUUAAAACAUCGCCGGGACUCGACGGCUGGCCUUCACGCCCCCCACACAGCCCAGCCGCUCACACCCCAUCAUCCGUGUUUGAUUUUUACCCCAUCUGCAUCCAGCGAGGAUGUGAGGCCGUGGCAUCAAAACAGCAUCAGGUUUUACGCCUUCCUAGCCCGGGAAGCCUGCAAAGACGAGACAGUAAAAUAUGUGCUAAUAAAUGGUUCUGCGUC
rnacentral:lncRNA from 1 species